rnacentral:snRNA from 1 species
GGGAGUGAGGGGAAUCCGGUUGUGAUAUUCAUCAUUCCAUUAAUUGCUAGUGUUGAUUCAGCUGAUCAAGUUGGCUAGUUAGGUGCCCCCUUCUUCCCUCACCACACCAUGUUCACCUCCUGAAGCUUCAUGCUUGGCGGAAGAGGACAACCAUUCCAGAUAGAUGGAGUGUACCAUUCUUUGGUCAACAGUAGAGAUGGGCAUGAGUUCAUCCUUUAAAUAAACAGGUGUUU